rnacentral:lncRNA from 1 species
CCCAGUUCUACCAUUUUUAACUUUUAAAAAUAAAGUGUCUGAAAUAUUUAAUUACAUUUCUUUUUUUUUGAAGCUUCCUUAUGUCUUCAAGGUAACUUGAAGAUCUUGCCUUUGAAAUUUCUUUUUGUGACAAAUAUUUCUACCAAAUCAGACUUUCCCAGCUCAAAUUUAGAUUAUUCAUAUCUACAUUUUGUCCAAAUACUUUGUUCUUCAAUUUUUAGUUUGUAUUUUUUUUUAUUUUAUUAAUUGAAAAUAUUUUUUUCUAAGUUUUCUUGGGCCAAUAUUUGAAGUCUUUAAUGACAUAGAAGAGGUGUUACAAAGCCAGCCACAGUGGUGCACACCUGUAAUUCCAGCAGCUUGGAGGCUGAGGCAAAAGGAUCAUAAAUUCAAAGCCACCCUCAGCAAUUUAGCAAGGCCCUAAGCAACUCAGUGAGAACCUGUCUCUAAUAAGACACAAAAAGGGCUGGGGAUGUGGCUCAGUGGUUAAGUGUCCCCUGGGUUCAAUCUCUGGUACCACCAAAAAAAAAAAAAAAAAACAUUAUGGCUAGGGAUGUAGCUCAGUGGUAGAAUGCUUACCUAGCAUGGUGAGGCCCUGGGUUCAAAUCCUUGGCACUACAAAAAAUGAACAAAUAGAAAGAGCAAAAGAGAUAUAGCACUGAGCUACAUCCUUAGCUCUUUUUAUUUUUUUAUUUUAAGAUGGAGUCUUGGCCUCUCAAGUAGCUGGGAUUAAAGGUAUGUAUUCGUGACACAAUGUUUGUGUUUAAUUUGAUAAAAGAUUAAGACUCUGCAUCUCUUUCUUGGAAAUACAUGAAAAGAUAAUGAGCAAUUCCAUUUUUGGUCAUCCAGAAUGUUUUAACUGUACUAGACAGCCUAGUAUACUACUAAUCUAAUUUUUCCACAUACUUAAGUAGUUUCUAUAUGAUGUAGUAGCUAUCUACACUGUGGCUAAUGCAAAGAACAAAUAUUGGUAUAUAAAGUAUUCUGAAUGGUCAAAUUGAUAUAAUACCCUACUUCAGUAACAGAUUUUAAAGUUAAAAAAUCAAAUGCCUUUUGUACUUUAGAAACUACUAAUUAGUUUAGUUGUAUUAAAAUGUACAGAGAGGAGGGGCUGGGGAUGUGGCUCAGUAUAAAGUACUUGGCAUGCAUGAGGCCCUGGAUUAGAUUCCCAGCACUGAAAAGAAAUUUAAUGCAACAUCAUAAUAAAAGAGCUUAUUUUUAAUCCCAGCUACUUGAGAGGCCAAGACUCCAUCUCAUCUUCAUAAAAGAGCUUUAAAGUUCCCUUACGUAUCUCUUAAGCUAGAGAAAAAUGUCAGGACUGAUGUUGGCAAAUAAAAUGAAAGCAAUUUAGUACAAUAACUUAUUUAAAUAGGUCUGCAAAUUAUUCAGUCAUUUGAAGAAUAAUAUGUCAAUUGGCAUAAAAUUAUACUAGUUUUCAAAACAUACAAGAAUUACUAUAAUCAAAAAGAAUAAGGAGUAGUGUGCUCCUGUAAUCCCAUUGGCUUGCGAGGCUGAGGCAGGAGGAUGGCAAGUUUGAGGCCAGCCUGGCAACUUAGUGAGAUCCUGUUUCAAAAUGUUUUUAAAAGGGCUGGGAUUACAACUUAGUGGUAAAGCACCCCUGGGUUCAAUUCACAGUACUAAAAAAAAAAAAAAAAAGAAGGAAUAUUCUUAUUCCUGGGUUCAAGGUGUUUAGUCUUUAGUGGAUGUUUAGAAUUUUGGCUUUUAGGGAAUUUUUAGUUGGAAUUAUUCUCUUUCAGCACAUUCCACAAUCUUUCUACUGUUUUCUGGCUUCUACAGUUUUUAUUCAUAUAAGGUAUCAGCUUUACUGUUGAUCCUUCAGAAGUAAUGUUACUCUUUCCAAUUACUUGUUUUUAUGCUCAUUAUUUUUCAUAAUUUAAUUGAAGUUUCUAUAUAUAUGUUGAACUAGAAAUAAUCCAAUUAUAUAGGGAAUUCAUGUACCCAUCUCAUACCUUUAAAGAUUGUCAACAUUAUUCCUGUCUUAUCCUUUUUAUCUGUAAAUACCACAUACUAUCUCAUUUUACCACAAGUAUUUUUGUAUGUAUAUUUAACUGGUAAGAAAUUCUUUUAAAAAUAACUAAAUAUCACUCUCAUGUCCAUAUGCAGAUUUCCCUAUUGUCUGUUUAAAAAUUGUCUUUUCAUAGUUAUUUAUUUUGAAUCUGUCUUCAAUAAAGGUUUAUAUUUUACAUAAGAUGAAUGUGUCUAUUGUUGUUGUUCUACUGGUGAUCAAGCCCAGGGCCUCAUACAUAUUUGGGAAGUUCUGUACCACUGAACUACUUCUCCAGCCCACCCUUUUUAUUUUUCAUAAAAAAACAUCCAGUCAGGUGUGGUGGCAUGCUCUCAUCAUCUUAGUGAUCCAGAAGGAUUGCAAGUUCAAGUCCAACCUGGGCAACUUAGUGAGAUGGCUGCCUCAAGAAUGGCUGGGGAUAUAGUUUAGUGGUAGACUAUCCCUGGGUUCAAUCCCCAGUACAGCAAAACAAAAAGUUUGAUUCAUGUUGUAUAAUAUAUCAGUAAUUUAUUCCUUAUUAAUGACCAAAUAAUAUUCCUUUAUUUUGUUUCUCCCUUCAUCAGUUGGUGAAUAUUUGGGUUGUUUUUUGCACUAUUAUGAAAAAUGUUGCUAUUAAUAAAAGUUUCUAUAUGGA